rnacentral:rRNA from 1 species
AUGAACGUUGGCGGCGUGGAUUAGGCAUGCAAGUCGAGCGAGAACCCGCAAGGGGGACAGCGGCGAACGGGGUAGGACAACGUAGGUAACGUACCCUCGGGGCGAGGACAGCCACGGGAAACUGUGGGUAAUACUCGAUAAUGUUCCCAAUCUUGAUUGGAGGGGAACCAAUGGGUGUGAUUCCACCUGAGGAGCGGCUUACGCAGUAUCAGCUUGUUGGCGAGGUAACGGCUCACCAAGGCUAUGACGCUUAGGGGAUGUGAGAGCAUGAUCCCCACCACUGGCACUGAGACACUGGCCAGACACCUACGGGUGGCUGCAGUCGAGAAUCUUCGGCAAUGGACGCAAGUCUGACCGAGCGACGCCG